UCCGUAGGUGAACCUGCGGAGGGAUCAUUACCGAGUUUACAACUCCCAAACCCAAUGUGAACGUUACCAAACUGUUGCCUCGGCGGGAUCUCUGCCCCGGGUGCGUCGCAGCCCCGGACCAAGGCGCCCGCCGGAGGACCAACCUAAAACUCUUAUUGUAUACCCCCUCGCGGGUUUUUUUAUAAUCUGAGCCUUCUCGGCGCCUCUCGUAGGCGUUUCGAAAAUGAAUCAAAACUUUCAACAACGGAUCUCUUGGUUCUGGCAUCGAUGAAGAACGCAGCGAAAUGCGAUAAGUAAUGUGAAUUGCAGAAUUCAGUGAAUCAUCGAAUCUUUGAACGCACAUUGCGCCCGCCAGUAUUCUGGCGGGCAUGCCUGUCCGAGCGUCAUUUCAACCCUCGAACCCCUCCGGGGGGUCGGCGUUGGGGAUCGGCCCUCCCUUAGCGGGGUGGCCGUCUCCGAAAUACAGUGGCGGUCUCGCCGCAGCCUCUCCUGCGCAGUAGUUUGCACACUCGCAUCGGGAGCGCGGCGCGUCCACAGCCGUUAAACACCCAACUUCUGAAAUGUUGACCUCGGAUCAGGUAGGAAUACCCGCUGAACUUAAGCAUAUCAAUAAGCCGGAGGAA
rnacentral:rRNA from 1 species